CUGAAGGACAUUCGGGCUCAGAUCUUGAUUAUACUCUGCAACAGAAAGGAAUCAAGGGUUAGAGAUCUGAGUGGAAGGAGACACAUUAUUCCGCUGCACCCACUGUAAGGUUUCUUAACUUUAUAUGUGUUUUAUUUAUUAUCGUUUUAGAAGUUCAUAUUUAGGUUGUUAAUCAACAUACUUGUGAGUAGAUCUAAGAUCCUAGUAAAAUUAAUUCCAACACUUUGAGGCCAUCAAAACUCUCAGUGACUCGUUACCCUAAGCCUGGUCUUACAACAACACUAAGAAAGCUUAAAACAAUGGUGAUGGGAUGGCCAGACAUGUGUGCACCACAAAUUAAAAUUGCAGAUGAUGUGUUCGGAGUUGAAAAUGAUAGUACUUGGAUAAUGAAGGAGGACAUCCUUGAUUUUUGUGACCUGGAUAAGAUUGGGGCUACAGUUAUGUCUCUCUGGUGCAGCUAUUUGCAGACCCGGUUAUUCAAUCAUUCUGGACUAAACAAGGUCUAUGCAUUUCUUAACCCAUCUUGGGUAGGCAACAAAGCUGGGUCAUAUGCAAAACGUGUGACUAAUUUAUCUCAACGGUUGAGCGACAUAGACCCUGAUAAGUUUCUAGUUAGUCCGUGGAUUGAUAGGUAUGUAGGUUUAUAGUUUUAGUAUGUCUAACUAUUUGUAUAUAUAUUUAUAUAUUACUGAAUUUGAUUUUGUAUGUUUGAUAAUGUGUGUAGCAAGCACUGGAUGGUUAUUCUUAUCCAGGCGUCCUUACAGAGGGUGGCAUUUUUUGAUCCACUCAAUGGUCUAAUGCCUGGAGACAUCGAGAAAGUUGUCAAAGAAGCAUUGAUGAAAUACAACCUUCAGAAUAGUAAAAAGGCAAAUAGUAGACCGAAUAUCACUUACCACAAGUGUCGGCUUCAGCCCGAUAUUGUUCAAUGUGGAUAUUACUG